rnacentral:rRNA from 1 species
GCCGCGUGCCUAAUACAUGCAAGUCGAGCGGACAGAUGGGAGCUUGCUCCCUGAUGUUAGCGGCGGACGGGUGAGUAACACGUGGGUAACCUGCCUGUAAGACUGGGAUAACUCCGGGAAACCGGGGCUAAUACCGGAUGGUUGUUUGAACCGCAUGGUUCAGACAUAAAAGGUGGCUUCGGCUACCACUUACAGAUGGACCCGCGGCGCAUUAGCUAGUUGGUGAGGUAACGGCUCACCAAGGCGACGAUGCGUAGCCGACCUGAGAGGGUGAUCGGCCACACUGGGACUGAGACACGGCCCAGACUCCUACGGGAGGCAGCAGUAGGGAAUCUUCCGCAAUGGACGAAAGUCUGACGGAGCAACGCCGCGUGAGUGAUGAAGGUUUUCGGAUCGUAAAGCUCUGUUGUUAGGGAAGAACAAGUGCCGUUCAAAUAGGGCGGCACCUUGACGGUACCUAACCAGAAAGCCACGGCUAACUACGUGCCAGCAGCCGCGGUAAUACGUAGGUGGCAAGCGUUGUCCGGAAUAUUGGGCGUAAAGGGCUCGCAGGCGGUUUU